CCCAAACAUUUCCCUCUUCUCCCCCGAAGGAGCCAUGGCCCGCCACCGCCCCGCCGUGCUCAUCCCCAUCCAGACCCCCAAUCCAUGGCCUCUGACUGCUGCCCUCCUACCCCGCCUCCUCCCCUCACCGCUGGUGACUCCCUGCUCUUCCUCUCAUCGCCCCCUGCUCCCCGCUAUCGCCUCUGUUUGCUCCCCACGCUCGGCCGCUCCGGAUCCAGAUCCACGGCCCCAUUUGCCACUGCUUGGUAGGGAGCGCUUUAUCUUGUGUUCUAGAGCCUGGAUCUCAUGGCAUACCCCUUUUUGUGUGUGUGAUGCAGCUUCUAGGGAGGGAUGUUGAAUGGACAGAUUGAGGCCGUGCCGCCGUGCAGGACAGGCUGCUGGUGCUGGCCGUGGACGGGCUGCCGGUGGCAGCGCCGCUCAACGGCCGUCGCUGCUGUCCGCUCGGCUCGGACGACUACACCGUCAUCCAGAUGACCUUAGGCCGCCCCGCCUCCACCUCCGCACCGGCCAUGAAGCCGUGACGCCCCAGCCGCCUAGGUAAGCUCCUCGUUGACUUGAGUAUAAUUCUGCAUCGACUGCUUGUUCACUAUCCCCCUCGGUAUCCAAAACAAUCUGGUAUCCAUAUUCUAGGAAAUAGCCAAGAAACCCAGCUAUGUGUGCUCAGCAUCCAGCAAAUCCUAGCUAUCUUCAUCUAAAUAGAGAGCCAGCGAUCAAACUUCAGUUCUUACAAGAACAAAUGCUCCAUUGUGUUCAUGUCAUUUAAGUACAGAUUGACAGGAAUAGGUUGUUUCUAACAUGAUCUAUUAUCAUUUAUAGUUUGUGUGGCUAUUUACAUCUUUGUAGAUGAUAUU